rnacentral:rRNA from 1 species
CAGGCCUAACACAUGCAAGUCGAGCGCGCCUUCGGGUGAGCGGCGGACGGGUUAGUAACGCGUGGGAACGUGCCCUUCUCUACGGAAUAGCCUCUGGAAACGGAGAGUAAUACCGUAUACGCCCUUUGGGGGAAAGAUUUAUCGGAGAAGGAUCGGCCCGCGUUAGAUUAGGUAGUUGGUGGGGUAACGGCCUACCAAGCCUACGAUCUAUAGCUGGUUUUAGAGGAUGAUCAGCAACACUGGGACUGAGACACGGCCCAGACUCCUACGGGAGGCAGCAGUGGGGAAUCUUAGACAAUGGGGGCAACCCUGAUCUAGCCAUGCCGCGUGAGUGAUGAAGGCCUUAGGGUCGUAAAGCUCUUUCGCCUGUGAUGAUAAUGACAGUAGCAGGUAAAGAAACCCCGGCUAACUCCGUGCCAGCAGCCGCGGUAAUACGGAGGGGGUUAGCGUUGUUCGGAAUUACUGGGCGUAAAGCGCGCGUAGGCGGAUUAGAAAGUUGGGGGUGAAAUCCCGGGGCUCAACCUCGGAACUGCCUCCAAAACUACUAGUCUAGAGUUCGAGAGAGGUGAGUGGAAUUCCGAGUGUAGAGGUGAAAUUCGUAGAUAUUCGGAGGAACACCAGUGGCGAAGGCGGCUCACUGGCUCGAUAC